UACGAAGGGGGCUAGCGUUGCUCGGAAUUACUGGGCGUAAAGCGCACGUAGGCGGCUUUCUAAGUCGGGGGUGAAAUCCUGGAGCUCAACUCCAGAACUGCCUUCGAUACUGGAGAGCUCGAGUCCGGGAGAGGUGAGUGGAACUGCGAGUGUAGAGGUGAAAUUCGUAGAUAUUCGCAAGAACACCAGUGGCGAAGGCGGCUCACUGGCCCGGUACUGACGCUGAGGUGCGAAAGCGUGGGGAGCAAACAGGGAU
rnacentral:rRNA from 1 species